rnacentral:rRNA from 1 species
CUGGGCUCAGAUUGAACGCUGGCGGGAUGUUUUACACAUGCAAGUCGAACGACAGCACUGACCUUCGGUCUGGUGGCGAGUGGCGAACGGGUGAGUAAUGUAUCGAACGUGCCUAGUAGCGGGGGAUAACUACGCUGAAAGCGUAGCUAAUACUGCAUAAUAUUCGGGGAAAGCGGGGGACCUUCGGGCUCGCACUAUUAGAGCGGUGGCCGAUAUCGGAUUAGCUAGUUGGUGGGUAAUGGCUUAAUUGGCGACGAUCCGUAGCUGGUUUGAGAGGACGACCAGCCACACUGGGACUGGAGAUGACGGCCCAGACCCUACGGAGGCAGAAUUUUGGACAAUGGGGGAAACCUGAUCCAGCCAUCCCGCGUGUGCGCGGCUGAAGCAUUGGUUGUAAAGCACUUUUUGGCAGGAAAGAAACGGAGCAUCGGAGCAAUACCCGUGCAACUGACGGUACCUGCAGAAUAAGCACCGGCUAACUACAGCCAGCAGCCGCGGUAAUACGUAGGGUGCAAGCGUUAAUCGGAAUUAGCCGGGCGUAAAGCGUGCGCAGGUUCGGAAAGAAAGAUGUGAAAUCCCAGAGCUGAACCGCAUUUAACUACCGAGCGGAGGUGUCAGGAGGGAGGUGGAAUUCGCGUAGCAGUGAAAUGCGUAGAUAUGCGGAGGAACACCGAUGGCGAAGGCAGCCUCUGGGAUAACACUGACUGCUCAUGCACGAAAGCGUAGAGCAAAACAGGAUUAGAUACCCUGUAGUCCACGCCUCCUAAACGAUGUCAACUAGCUGUUGGGGCCUUCGGGCCUUGGUAGCGCUUAACGCGGGUUGACCGCCUGGGGAGUACGGUCGCAAGAUUAAAACUCAAGUGAAUUGACGGGGACUCGCACAAGCGGUGGAUGAUGUGAUUAAUUCGAUGCAACGCGGAAAACCUUACCUACCCUGACAUGUCUGGAAUCCCAAAGAGAUUUGGGGAGUGUCGCAAGAGAACCGAACACAGGGUGCUGUAUGGCUGUCGUCAGUCGUGUCGUGAGAUGUUGGGUUAAGUCCCGCAACGAGCACAAACUUUGUCAUUAGUUGCUACGAAAGGGCACUCUAUCGUGAGACUGCCAGGACAAACCGGAGGAAGGUGGGGAUGACGCUGUCUCCAUGGCCCUUAUGGGUAGGGGCUUCUUAAGACGUCAUGGCUAAAUGGUCGGGACAGAGGGUCGCCAACCCGCGAGGGGGAGCCAAUCCCAGAAACCCGAUCAGAACCGGAUCGCAGUCUGCAACUCGACUGCGUGAAGUCGGAAUCGCUGGGGUAAUCGCGGAUCAGCAUGUCGCGGUGAAUAUGUUCCCGGGUCUGUACACACACCGCCCGUCACACCAUGGGAGUGGGUUUUAACCAGAAGUAGUUAGCCUAACCGUAAGGAGGGCGAUUACCACGGUAGGAUUCAUGUGACCGGGGUAAGCUGUAACAAGGUAG